AGCUGGUGGCAGGUGGAGGCCCUCUGGUCCGGAGAAAGCUUCAUCUAAGCAUCUUGUAGUGAUCGGCCUAGUACAUAUUCCAUCACAAUGUAUAUUCGUGUUGGCAGCGAUAUAUAGCAUGCUGUCGCUUUCUCGGCAACCCUCAUGCGCUUGCUUCCGGACCCGGUGCUCGAUCAAAUGGAUAACCUGGUACCUGUCAAACAUAUCAUUCCCAGAGCCCCUGGCCAUAGCCGGCUAAUUGAUUUCGAUUAGUUAUCACAUGAAGAGGGUGAAUCACCGAACACCACAAACAUGAGGAGCAAGCAGCAUGCCUUUGGGAGUGAAGGGGUCCAUUGUAAAAAUAAAUUGCCCGGAUGGUAGCGGAAUAAUCAGGAGAAAGGGGACGAAAGAAGGUUAAUGGAAGCCGAGUUCUUGAGUGGAAAAAAUCAAGGAUCUUAAAACAAUCCAGCAAGCAGUUUUGGACAGUGUUCCGGAGCUGUGUCUUUCGUGUCCUAGUUUAUUCCGAAUUGUGACUUCCACCGUUUUCGCGUUGACGAUCAACUAUGGGUUUCCUUUAGGGGGGA
rnacentral:sRNA from 2 species